AACCAAUCCAACCGUCAAUGUAUCUGCCGGCCAAUCAAUCUCAGCCGUUGCAUUACUAGUCCCCCUCAAUAAAUAAACCCAAUUAUUUUUCCAUUUGUGUUCAAUGGUCUCUGUUUCAUUUCCUGUGGCUCAACUUCAUUCUCACACCUGAUCUAUGUUAUUUCUCUUCAUCUGUUUUGGGAAUACUGUAGAUCGUGAAACGAUCUAUAAUUAGAUUAUGGAUUUGAAUAUGUUCGUUGAGGGUUUCGAUCAACGGAGAACUUUCGUACAUCGCCUAAGAUGUAUGAUUUUAGAUUGGAUUUGGUGAAGGUCUAACGGAUUGAUGAAGGUAAUUUUCACAUCUUACAAUAAUUGUUUGAUUUCUCAAGCAGGGCAUGUUUGGGAUAGCUUAUUUCUGAGAAAGAAGCUUAAAAACUUGCUUCUUGCUUACUUUUCCUUGACAGUAUAUCUUAGAGAUAAUCUAAGACAUUCAUUAUUUGAAAUUGAUUUGUCGUUUUUUUUUAAAGUUGAGGUUAAGUUCUUUACAGCGUGUUUUUCCAAACAUUGUUUAUAAUUUCUCUACGGUAUUGAGGUAGAUUCCUUCCUAGUGCCCUGUAUGAUCAUUUUUUUACACUUUGUUCUUGCUAUGUAGGUUCAUUUUCCUGAUGCAAUUGACUGAUAUUUUCCGGCUGGAAAUGAUUUUUCGCCGAAGAAUUAAAGUACGAGGAAAUGCAUUUCUACUGAUUUUGUCUGCAUAAGAUUCUUGUGGUAUCAUGAUUGGUAUGGUUGUUUGUUAUGCUGUAUGAGCGAUGUUCCUUUUGAUAUGUUUAAAGCUAUGACGAAUAUGAGCAUAGGAUGAGAAGUUACUGAGAGAUUACAGAGAUGAAUAGCUGAAUGUGGUGUUUGUCUUACGGGCCAUUGCCAUGAUGGGUGCGCUCUCAUGGCAGGUCGAAAGAUCUCAAUAAAAAUAUCUUUUUUUGUUUAGAGGGGAGAUGGUACGGGGUUUUGCCCGACUCUCCCUUCUGUGUGCGGCCUCCUUUUCCUUUGCUGCCUUUAUUUUUUUGUCCUCGACCUGUCUUAUGUUGAAAAAUUUCUAUUCUGGUAUGGCAGUUGAGGGAAGGUUUAGUGCGCCAACUGGACAACCAACACAUUUCUUGCCUCUAUUCCCCUAAUCCUUUUAAUCAAACGCGUUCAGUUUAGUCCACAAAAUCUAGAUGCGAUUAUAGAUUCAUGUUUUGAUGAAAACGGAACAUAAAAUAUUCCCGGGAAAGUCAAGACUGCAAGCUUUGCCAAGGGAUUGGGUCUACUGAAGCAUAAUUUUCCUAAGAGGUACAUAAUAGAAUGCUUUUAAUUUCUCUCUUAUAUUAAGUUCUACAGACAUAUUUAGUUCGACCAUGUGCUACAUGUCACUUGACAAUUUGUAAUUUAUGAGCUAUCUUGAUUAAUCAGUAAUGUUCAUACAUCAGCACACGUUAUUUAUAACAUUAACGUAUCAUACCUAGCUUCUAGCAUAUUGACUACAGAUUGUAAUAGGAAAGUAAUUGCAUGCAAUUUCGUACCUGUUUGAUGGCAGUUAUUUGAGAUAUUGAACCGUGACUUCUGAGGAAAAUGUGUAGCUAUAAAGGAGAAGUUUUGGUUUAUGUGCACAAUAUAGUAGAGAAUGAGCGUUUAGAAAAAUCAGUUUUUAAAUAAUGAUUUUCAAAUAGAAGUUGGUAUUUAAUCAUUCCUACUGAUGUAGUAAGAGUUUGUACUUAUGAUUAACAUCAUUAAUAAUUAAUCUAUGAGCAUGAAUACGGACUUGGGUUUCCAUCUCAAACAACCAGCCAACUUGUUUAAGUCGUCGUCCAAGCUCAUAUAAGUUUGAUUAUUGUUUAGCCCCUGCUCGGUGGGGAUUAAAAACAGACUUUUAAUAGAUAUUAAUAGAAGUUCUGAAAUGUGUGGUUGAAAAGUUACUGAUCUCAUGAAUUAAAUAUAUAGUUAAAAUUAAUCGUUUAUUUUAAUUUAAUUAAAAUAUGAAACGGGAAUAAUGUUUAAAUAAUAUUGGAUAUUGCUCUUAAUGUCUAAUAUCUUGCUAGAUGUUCUGUUUGUGGAUGCCAAUCUUGAGGUUUAAACUAUUCAAAAUGUUGGUAUGAUUUCUUUGGGUCUAGCACCAUAUUGAAUCUUUGCUCUUCAUCUGGAAAGAUAAUUGAGGCAAGAGGAGUAUCGAAGUCCUUAUUAUGUUGUUUCUAUUCAUAUAUUGUGAGAUUUUAGUCUUGACAAGGCAACACUAAGUAAUAUAUUUUUUUUACCUCUCAAGCUAGCUUCUAAUAGCAACUGUAAAAUUAUCAAACUUCCACGUGACUGUGUGUCGAUACAAAGCAAGAUUUAUCACAAGCAAAUAUAAUUUCGUUUUAUUUACUGCCUUAUUCUUUCAAAUUCUAAAAGAAAUGUGAUGUUUAAAAUUAUCAAUUCUGCUUGGCAAUUCAAUUCAACAUUUGAUACAGAAUAUUUUUAACAUUUGUUAAAUUUAUUUAACAGUUAUCUCAUUUUUCCGUCUAUUGCAUAAUUAUGCUUUUGAAGCAGAGUUUAUUUAACAUUCAUCCUGUUAUAUUUGUAAAAUUCUCAAAGGUCAUCUUGUUUGAAUUAGUUGAGGGUUUAGAUGUUCUAGUCUUCUAGAUAGUUGUUACUUGGUGAGCAAGGGCAUCGUCGGGUCGACCAAGGCUACAUGAUGGUAACUGUUGCUACUGGUUGCUGGUAAUAAUGAGUCUCCUGAAAGUGACUAUGCUUGAUGGCCAUUUUCAAUCACUCUUUGAUAUAUGUUGCUGCUGCUAUUAGUGCAUUAAUUGCUGCUGCUGCUGCUAGCUGUUAUUGUGCCAUAUACAGUCACUAGUUGUCAUUGAUUGCUGCUGCCUCUUCUGCUGCUGUUGCUACUGUUUCUUGGAUAGGCUGGAAGUAUUAGGCUUGGCAUUUCAGAUUGUUGCCUUUCCCUGGUACAAUCGUUCGCUGAUAUUGAUGUUGCUGCUGCUAGGACUUGCUCCCUCGAUGAUCAGAGUUUCUGCUUCUGUCGCGUUUUACAUUCGUGUAAUUCCUGCUGCUGUGGGUGCUGCUUACUCUUUCCUACUGUUUAUCCUGAAGUUAAAACUGCUUUCUGCUAUUUGUUUUAAGGUGAAGAAUAAAAAUACGUCCCCUCCCAAUGAAUACUGUUCGUUCCAAUUUAGCUCUGGUUCCUGCAUUAAUUGCCAUUUCUUACUGUUGGAACGCUGGCGAGCGGUAAAGUAAAUUAAUUACAAGUUUUUGUCGUUGCAGAGGGGAAGUGUCAUUAUGCAGUUCAGAGAACACACUAUAUUUAUCUAUUUUUCAUGAAUUUGAGUCGAGCAAGAAAAUUGUGCGCUGAGUUAGCACCUGUUUGGCCCCCAUUAUUUGGAUUUAUAAUGGGGGAAAAGUGUGUAUUUGAAGAUUGUGUGGUUGAAAUGUUUUCAAUUUGAGUGUGAAAAUAUUUUAUUGAAGAUUGUAUGGUUGAAAGUAGGGGAGAGAAUUAAAUUAAAUUGAAGAGUUUUAAAGGGGGUAAGAUGGUGUUUAGUUUACUUGUUUUGUUUUCAUUUUGGAAUUGCUAGUCUGUUUUGAUUAGAAAUCUCAUAAAGAUGGUUGUCUUGGCAUAUUUUCGAUAUACCAAUUGUAUAACCGGGAUCACUUUGCAGUUUACACCUAAAAUGUGUUUAUUUGGUGGUUCAAAACAAGCUUUCGUUUGACCAAAAAAAAAAUAAAAAUUACUACGGGGUGUACGGAGCUGGGAUUUUGAUGGAUUUUAGAAGAUUAAAAGGUAUUGUUUGAUAUAAAAAAGGGAAUUUGGGUGGAACAAAAAUUAAUUUUGUUGGAAAUUGAAUUGUCUAGAAUAUGUUUUAUUGGGAAUUGUUAAUUAAAUGUGUGGGAAUUGUUAAUUAAAUGUGUGUGAUUGGUAUAAUUUUUUAUUUAAAAAAUAUUGUAAUUUUGGAUUUUUUGGUGUUCAUUUAGUUUUUAUUUCUUAUAAAAAUUAUCUAUUAAAGGGAUAUAACUUGUUAUAACUACGGAUAGAAUUUGUUUCAAUUGGGGAAAAAAAAUUGAAAAACCAAAAAUAAUCUUUCCCAAUUCUUGAAAAAGGUGGAAAAUGAGGGUUGUUAGGAAAAUCAGUUGUCAAGAAAAUUUGUCCAAUUGAUCAUGCAAAAAGGUGGAAAAUAGAAUUUAAUUUUCUGUUUCUAUAGAAAAUUUGUGCAAUUGAGUAUGCUUAAAUUUUAGUUAAUCAUGGAUUACAUUAAAAUUUUCAAUUAUGAAUGUUCAAAUUGUAUUUGGUGGGGAUUAAAAUUAGGUUUUUUAGUAUUACUCAUAACACAAACCUGAUUUCUUCAAGUCAACAUGGCCAAUUCCAAUGGUUAUCUUGUAUAUGUCGAUGUUAACAUUCUCCUCAAAUUAAAUAUUCUUUGCGCCAUUGGUAACUCUAGUUUUGAUAAAGAUUAUGUAAUAUUGAUGCCAGCAUCAACUUAAUACUUUUAUCUGUUUUUAGAAAUUAAAUACGAGAAAGGUAGAAGCAAGUAGGGGUUCAAUUUGGCUUGUUCAACUAGCAAAAAGAAAUUUUUUUAACCUUGUG
rnacentral:lncRNA from 1 species